rnacentral:rRNA from 1 species
UGGGGAAUAUUGCACAAUGGGGGAAACCCUGAUGCAGCGACGCCGCGUGAACGAAGGAGGUAUUCGUAUCGUAAAGUUCUGUCCUAUGGGAAGAUAAUGACAGUACCAUAGAAGAAAGCUCCGGCUAAAUACGUGCCAGCAGCCGCGGUAAUACGUAUGGAGCGAGCGUUGUCCGGAAUUAUUGGGCGUAAAGGGUACGCAGGCGGUUUAAUAAGUCGAAUGUUAAAGAUCGGGGCUCAACCCCGUAAAGCAUUGGAAACUGAUAAACUUGAGUAGUGGAGAGGAAAGUGGAAUUCCUAGUGUAGUGGUGAAAUACGUAGAUAUUAGGAGGAAUACCAGUAGCGAAGGCGACUUUCUGGACACAAACUGACGCUGAGGUACGAAAGCGUGGGGAGCAAACAGG